rnacentral:misc_RNA from 1 species
AAGUCGUAACAAGGUUUCCGUAGGUGAACCUGCGGAAGGAUCAUUAUCGAGUUUUGAAACGGGUUGUAAGCUGGCCUUUGAAAAAAUAAACAGAGGCAUGUGCACGCCUGACUUCAUCCACUCUCAAACCCCUGUGCACCUAUUGUAGGCUCGGUGGAAAAGGUCGGUUCGACGACGAUUAAUCUUUGUUGUUGAGUCGGCUCGGGAAGCCUUGUCCUAUGUCUUCAUACAAACGCUUCAGUUAAGAAUGUAACCUUGCGCAUGACGCAAAAAAUAAAUACAACUUUCAGCAACGGAUCUCUUGGCUCUC